AUUGAACGCUAGCGGCAGGCCUUACACAUGCAAGUCGAACGAGUGGCGGACGGGUGAGUAAUAUAUCGGAACGUGCCCAGUAGCGGGGGAUAACUACUCGAAAGAGUAGCUAAUACCGCAUACUAUCGGAUGCGCCGAUAUGGGAUUAGCUAGUUGGUGGGGUAAAGGCUCACCAAGGCAACGAUCCGUAGCUGGUUUGAGAGGACGACCAGCCACACUGGGACUGAGACACGGGCCAGACGCCUACGGGAGGCAGCAGUGGGGAAUUUUGGACAAUGGGCGAAACCCUGAUGCAGCCAUGCCGCGUGUAUGAGAAGGCCUUCGGGUUGUAAAGUACUUUUGGCAGGGAGGCGGUACCUGCAGAAUAAGCACCGGCUAACUCCGUGCCAGCAGCCGCGGUAAUAC
rnacentral:rRNA from 1 species